rnacentral:rRNA from 1 species
UACGUAGGCAGCAAGCGUUGUUCGGAGUUACUGGGCGUAAAGGGUGUGUAGGCGGUUCUUUUAAGUUUGGUGUGAAAUCUCCCGGCUCAACUGGGGAGGGUCAUUCGAUACUGAUCGACUCGAAGGCAGGAGAGGGUAGUGGAAUUCCCGGUGUAGUGGUGAAAUGCGUAGAUAUCGGGGAGGAACACCGGUGGCGAAGGCGGAUCUCUGGGCCAUUACUGACGCUGAGGAGCGAAAGCGUGGGGAGCGAACAGG